GAUCAGCCAAGAUACUGUUCCCUCCUGAGAGCGUUGCUGUUGAUUCUUGGAUUCCUGCACAGCUGCAAAUAAUCAGAUCAUCUGGAGGAGUAUAUGACGACGGCGCUGCCGACACUUCAGAUCCAGAGUGUUAGCCAGUAUUUGGUUAUUCCUCGUGAUGCUUUGGACCUACUGGUUGCCAGAGUUCCACUGACACCUCCGCAGUAAACCAAUCCUCUUUGUAUUACCCUGUUGUCAGUCUCACUUGCUCCUCGCCUCCUGUGAUAUUUUGUGUUUACAAUAAACUUAUUUAACUGA